rnacentral:rRNA from 1 species
GACGAACGCUGGCGGCGUGCCUAAUACAUGCAAGUUGAGCGAUGAAGCUUGGUGCUUGCACCAAUUUGAAGAGCAGCGAACGGGUGAGUAACGCGUGGGGAAUCUGCCUUUGAGCGGGGGACAACAUUUGGAAACGAAUGCUAAUACCGCAUAACAACUUUAAACAUAAGUUUUAAGUUUGAAAGAUGCAAUUGCAUCACUCAAAGAUGAUCCCGCGUUGUAUUAGCUAGUUGGUGAGGUAAAGGCUCACCAAGGCGAUGAUACAUAGCCGACCUGAGAGGGUGAUCGGCCACAUUGGAACUGAGACACGGACCAAACUCCUACGGGAGGCAGCAGUAGGGAAUCUUCGGCAAUGGACGAAAGUCUGACCGAGCAACGCCGCGUGAGUGAAGAAGGUUUUCGGAUCGUAAAACUCUGUUGGUAGGGAAGAACGUUGGUGAGAGUGGAAAGCUCAUCAAGUGACGGUAACUACCCAGAAAGGGACGGCUAACUACGU